rnacentral:misc_RNA from 1 species
AAAGUCGUAACAAGGUUUCCGUAGGUGAACCUGCGGAAGGAUCAUUAAUGAAUAAACUUGGUCAAGCUGUUGCUGGUUCUUCGGGACAUGUGCACGCUUGCCACCAAUUUUAACCACCUGUGCACCUUUUGUAGACUGGAAACGUUUCUCGAGGCAACUCGGAUUGAGAACUGCUGUGCGCAAGCCAGCUCUUCUUGUGUUUCUCAGUCUAUGUUUUCGUAUACUCCUCAUGUAUGUAUCUGAAUGUCUUGCUAGGCCUUAGUGCCUUUAAAAACAAAUACAACUUUCAACAACGGAUCUCUUGGCUCUC